rnacentral:snoRNA from 2 species
UGGAAACCAUGAAGUAGAGAUAAUCGGGUGCUGAAUGUUGUAUGAUUGGAAAUUUUUAUUAUGUAAGUUAUGUAAUCAAUCUAAGUAUUUUUUUUAAAAGGAGAGCAUCAUAAAAUUACACUCCAG